rnacentral:rRNA from 1 species
UACGUAGGGUGCGAGCGUUAAUCGGAAUUACUGGGCGUAAAGGCGUGCGCAGGCGGUUGUGCAAGACAGAUGUGAAAUCCCCGGGCUUAACCUGGGAACUGCAUUUGUAACUGCACGGCUAGAGUGUGUCAGAGGGGGGUAGAAUUCCACGUGUAGCAGUGAAAUGCGUAGAUAUGUGGAGGAAUACCGAUGGCGAAGGCAGCCCCCCUGGGAUAACACUGACGCUCAUGCACGAAAGCGUGGGGAGCAAACAGG